rnacentral:snoRNA from 1 species
CAGAACAAUGAUUACAGAUACUGGUGCAGGAGUCAUAAACGAUGAGUAAUAUGUGGGUGGAACUCUGAGCAUCAA